GCACCAUCCGGUUUGCUCAAUUCAACCUCUGGGUGUUUUACAUAGGGGGAAGUGUCUGAGGGAAAACGUUUAUCAAACAUGAUGCAUUGGUAGGUUAAAUAGAAAAGAUGGAGUGACUAUUCAAAACCAUGGAAGAGAUUAUUUCAAAUGAGGGCACAAACUGACCGCCCGUGCGUCACACCUGGGAGCUGAGCUGAAGCCAAUGAUUUGAUCCGCGAGCCAUUAGACGCCAGAACGAGCAGACCAUGGGCUAAUAGAAUAGUGUCACAUGAAGUUUCGAUUACAAGCCAGACCAAGGGACUCACUAACUGUUCACUACAGGUCUUAAAGGGAUCGAGACACAUGGAAAACAUCAGGUUGGGUCACCACAGCAACCUUGGAUGGAGGCGAAAUAAGAGGAGAGGGCGAUCGCUCAUUAUGGAAUUAAUGGACAUUGUUGGCAGAGAUGGCUGAUUACUACCUGGACAGAAUGCAUCCGAAAACUACCUCUACUAGAACUACCUCUACAUAUGAGAUAGACAAGACGAGACCAGAGCAUGGGCUAUCAAAAGAUGAUGAAGGUCUCCGAAAUUAUAAACUGACAUAGUUUCAUGGGUUUGUGUUGCAAAAGUUCAGGAAUUCAUUAGAAACACUCAACAUGAAGUGAUCACAUACUCAUGUAUUCCUUUAAUAAUAUUUUGGCUUUGUGUGAUUCUGUGACUAAAUCUAUUCUGUAUUCUUGAUUAAGUCUUCUAAUAAGCUUAAUUUGGCUACAUCAGUGUAUUGUUUAUAAGGCAUGUUACCCAGAUAUUAAUCCUAAUUGGAUCAAAGCAAUUGUUUUAAUUGGCUUGAUAAUGUUUGCAUAUGACGUUGGAGAGCCUUCUUAGGUAUUUGUGUUGUAAUGUUUCUACUACAGGUUUUAUAAUCUGUGACGCCGUUGGCAUUCCAUUGUUGGUUUUUGGCGGUGUGGCAUGGCCGGGUUUGAGUGGUGUUCUCUCGGUCUGCUAUCAAUUUACUGGAACACUUAAAACUCCAAAGAAGGCUACUGACUCAUGUUUGGUCUACUUGGAUAUCUUCCCAUGAUAUGGAACAAUUCUGGAUUACAUACUGUAGAUGUAUUAUUGCAUUGACUUCUCUUCUUUUUACUUUAUAAAUAUGUGACACCUUAUAGUAUACUAUAGACUGUUCUCUAUGCUACAGCAUGGCAAGUGUUUAUUAUCUAUCUAUCUAUCCUGUUGCCGAGACACUUUAUCCCUACCAAUUUGUACAUACAGUGCAUUCAGAAAGUAUUCAAACCACUUGACCUUUUCGACAUUUUGAUACGUUAUAGCCUUACAUGCUGACCAGACGGGACACGUCGCAUGCGCGAGCGUCGAAAAAUAAAUGUAGAAUUAUUGCACCCAUACUGCUCACGCGCGCCAACUAGCGUCUGCGAUGCCAAGGGCUAAAAUAGAAGUCAUUCCUAUUUCUGACGCAGAUCGCGCUGAAAGUCCUGCCUCUCCCAUCUCCUCAUUGGUUUAUAGAAGCAGCUACCCACGUGC